UGUACUCUAUGUAAGCUUUGGUAGUAUUGCAAUUAUGACAAGAGGUAUGGUCUUGAAAAUAGCAAGAAAAAGUUCUUGUGGGUUAUAAGACCUAAUUCUUUUACUACCAAUGAUGAUGGUGUUGAAGAAAUUCCUGAGGAGCUUCAGGAAGGACGAAAGGAAAGAGGAUACAUUGUGAAAUGGGCACCGCAGGAAGAGGUUUUGGCACAUAAGGCAAUUGGUGGGUUUUUGACACAUAGUGGAUGGAAUUCAACUCUGGAGAGUAUAGUGGCUGGUGUGCCUAUGAUUUGCUG
rnacentral:misc_RNA from 1 species